GGGUGGGGGGGCAAUCUGGCCUCCCCCUAUGGAUCACCAGAAUUGGUUUGGCUGAUUUGGCUGGUUUUGGGGAUGUCCCCUUUUUUCUCUCAUCACUCCAUGUGUCUGUCUCCAGAAGCUAUAUUCUCAGUGGAAAAGGAUGGCUAUAAGGCUGCUGUAUCUGAACUACAGAAAUCUAUACAGCUGAUGGAUGGUAGCAAAGUUAUUUUUAUGUAACUUUUUCCUGCCAUCAAAUGGAUAUAUGCCAAUAGGA
rnacentral:snRNA from 1 species